CCUGUGUGCUGCAGCUGGGACCGUUUAUAAUAGGAAAAAAAGAGAAUGACCAGGCCAGCCGGCUGGAAAAUAAAGAGACUUAAAAAGAAAAGGGCUAGGCUGUUCUUCUCCUGUGGAGGCUUUGGUUAGGCAGAAAGUUUUAGUUCCUUUCUGAAAGGCAUUUGGGCUUUUGAAGUCCCCUGCGGGAGCUCCCUCUGGCCCCUGGGAAGCCAGGCCCUGGCAUGUCCCAAUGUGCGUGGCCAGGAUGGGGCCGGGGCACUCAGAGGAGGCAGCAGCAGGCCCUGGGAAACACUGCAGCAGGCUGGGCUCACUGGGGCCCCAGCCCGGCCCCCCUCUGCUCCCAGCCUGAGCCCUACCACCCUGCUUUGGGGGUCUUUCACCUGAAUUUCCUCUGCUGCCUCUGGCUUUGAAUCCUGGCCUGGUGCUAGGUCUGGGAACUAGAGAGAUUUCACAAACGGGGCGACUGAGGAAAAGGGAGGGUUUGCUUGGGGUAAACCUCAGGGAAUAUAGACGUCUUGAGGGCCUGUUGUGUGUGCUUUGCCUAUCAAUAUUAACAUUAGCUAAUAUUUAUUAUGCCCUUGUAGCAUGGAAGGGCCCAGUUAAUGAAUCCAGGGACCUAACAGAUAGAAAGGGACAACUGUCUGCGAAGGUACCUCUCCCAGCAACUGCCUUACCAGCUCUCUUCUGGGGCCUUUGCUGGUUCCAUUCAUUGCAAAUGAGCUCUCCUCCUUGUCUGUCCACCCCUCAGCAGGGUCACACACCAUAUCCAUCACUGAAGAAGGACCACAGUCAAAACAUGACAUUUAUCAACCAGCUACUAUAUGCAAGGUCCUGGGUGCCAGCUCGUUUCAUGCCCUCUGCACAUCCUGGAGCAGAAUCACAGGUGUUGGAAAAGAAGUCUUUUGAGAGCACAAAGCAACAAGUGAUCCUGAGUCCAGUGACCUCAGGCAUGUGUGUGCCACACACCGGGGCAGUUAGAGGUGGUCUGGGGAGAUUCUCAGAGCCAAGGCCAAGAGUUUCAAGCUUUCUGAGGGUGUGAGUCCACUGGGACCCUCCUGCUAAGUUGGUUUCUUUGCCGCCUUGUGGGUGUUCCCUGCAAAGACUGCUGACACUUGAAGAAUUAAAUAAUUAUAAUAAUGAUGAUAAAAUAGAAAUGGCUUUUCCAGCUGAACAGAAACUGAAGACAAGGAGGUUCCCACACCCGUUGUAUUGUUUUUGGCACUGUACUCCCAAAGCCCCCGGGAGGCAGAUGUCUGGGCUCUCUGAGUCGUGGUCAUGGAAGGGGGCGGGGGAGGCAAUGGGGACCUUUGGAGAAUUUCAGGGGCAUCUGUGGGGACUUCCCGCCCCAAAAAGCCAGGCUGAGAACUGAGCAGGGAAAGGGACUUGUCUUGUCUUACUCUGUUCGGAAGCCUCAGAAGCUUCAAGAACAAGUCCUGUAAGAGGGACCCUCAAUGUUGUAAACACCCAUGUAGAGGCCACUGCCUGUUAGCAAUUGAGGGGUGCCAGGCCUUCUCCUGAUGGUUUGACCUUAGUACCCCCAGGACAGGAGUGCCCAGAGAAACCUGGAUGCCACGAAUAGGUGGAUCAUGCUAAUAAAACCACAAGGCAGAAGACA
ensembl:lncRNA